AACAUUUCAAGAAAGAUUAAAAGAAAAAGAAGGAAUUCGGCAAAUAUUAGCUCCGCCUGUUUACCAAAAACACCGCCUCUUGUAUAUAUAAGAGGUCCAGCCUGCCCAGUGACUUCUGUUCAACGGCCGCGGUAUCCUAACCGUGCAAAGGUAGCGUAAUCACUUGUCUUCUAAAUAGAGACUAGUAUGAAAGGCAUCACGAGAGUUAAACUGUCUCCUCUCUCUAAUCAGUGAACCUAAUAACCCCGUGAAGAAGCGGGGGUAUUUAUAUAAGACGAGAAGACCCUAUGGAGCUUAAAACAUCAUAACACCUGCCACCCCAUUUAUUUACCCCGGUUUUCAUCCC
rnacentral:rRNA from 1 species